rnacentral:lncRNA from 10 species
CUGGAACCGCCUAAGACACCACCCCAGCCAGCAUGGCCGGCAGGAGCGCACCGCGCUGUCUCCCUCCAGGGAUCCGCACCGCCCUACAAUCCUGCUUUGUGCUGAGAUUGUAGUCCUGCAGGCGUACAACUAACAAGCUGGGUGCAGAUAAGAGACUACAGCUCCCCGCAUCCCAAGCAAAGGUCCCUCCUCUACGGAGCCCCUCCACGCGUCCACUGCGGUUCCGCCGUGCCAAGGGGAGCUUGGCUGUUCACGGGCCUCACCUGCUAGCGAGAAGAUAGCUUGGCCGGGCGGCUGAUCUCACCUUGUAAUUCUGACACUGUGUCUCCCGGGCUUGUCGGCUUCAUGACUUGUGCCCAAAGUUUGAUUUCUCGCAGACCAGGAGGACCCAUUGGACCCCCGGGCUGGCUGCAGGGCCCACACCUGGGUUAGACCUCGCACAGGGACGCUGCUGCCACUGUAAUAAAGCGUGCCUACACGCUUCUGAAACUGGUGUAGGAACAACCUCAGUUCUGUGAAAGGCGGACGCAGCAGGACAGAAUCUCCGUGGACAUCUGUCUGGAGGAGCAAUUUUACUGCGACAUUUUAAAGAAACAAAUUUAAUUGAUUUCCAAGGGUGUCCAUCGCGCUUCCUUCACUGCCUUGAUCAUGUCGGGGUCACCACCUGCGGGGGUUUGUCCUGCAGACCCUGACUCAACGACGGAUGAAUAAUGUACACUGACACAGAUCUUAUGCUUGUCAGUCCUGCUGAGCAUCCAGGCCACUUACAGACUCCAAGAAGAGUCCUGUCAGCCACGGCUCUGACUUGUUGGCCCUCCCGGCAUUUAUUUAGCACACAUUUAAUGACAGAAGUCUCAGGCUGGAAACACUCUUUUUGUAGAACAUACAAAUGGACAUUUCUAAGCACAUUGAGGCCUAUAAUGAAAAAUCAAAUAUCCCACAAUGAAAACUAGAAGGAAGCUAUCUGUGAUAAUGCUUUGUGGUGUAUGGAUUCAUCUCACUGACUGAAACCUGAGUUUUGAUUCACCAGGUUAAAAACACUAUUUUUGUAGACUCUACGAAGAAACAUUUCUGAAACCAUUGAAACCUAUGGGGGAAAAAAACCCCCGAAAUUCCUGUGAUAAGAAAUGGAAAGCAGCUAUCUGUGAAAAUGCUUUGUAAUGUGUGGAUUCUUCUCACAGAGUUAAACCUUUGUUCUGAUUCAACAUUGUUCAGAACACUCUUUUUGUAGAAUCUACAGAGAUACUUUUUAGCAUUUUGAGGCCUCUAGUGAAAAACCGAAUGUCCUGCAAUAGAAACUGGAAACAACCUUCUGUGAAAAUGCUUUGUGAUUCGUCUAUUCAUCUCAAAGAAUGAAACUUGUGCUUUGAUUCAACAGGUUGGAAAACCCUUUUUGUAGAAUCUACGUAGGAACAUUUCUGAGCCCAUUGAGGCCUCUAGUGAAAAAACUGAAUAUCCCAGAAUUAAAACUAUAAACAAGCUAUCUGUGAAGAAGCUUUGUAAUAUGUGCAUUCAUCUAACAGAUAUAAGCGUGUAUUUUGAUUUGCCUGGUUGGGAACACUCUUUUUGUACAGUCUAUAAAGAAACAUUUCUGAGUGCAUUGAGUCAUAUGUUGAAAAAUCGAAUAUCUCGUGAUAAAAACUAGGCAGGAGGUAUCUGUGAAAAUGCUUUGAGAUGUGUGGGUAUUGGCCUCACAGAGUUAAACUUUUGUUUUGAUUCAACAGUUUGGAAACAUACUUUGUAGAAUCUACAAUGACAUAUUUCUGAGCCCAUUGAGGCCUGUAGUGAAAAACCGAAUAUCCCAUGAUAAAAACUCAAAACAAGCGAUAUGUGAAAAUGCUUUGUGACGUGUGGUUCAUCUCAUAGAGUUAAACCUGGUUUUGAUCCACUACAUUGGAAACACUCUUAUUGUAGAAUCUACAAAAAAAAAUUUCUGAGACCAUUGAGGUCUCUAGUGAAAAACUGAAUAUCCCAUGAUAAAAACUAGAUACAAGCUAUCUGUGAAAAUGCUUUGCAAUGUGUGGAUUUGUCUCACAAAGUUAAACCUGUGUUUGAUUCAACGGGUUGGAAACACUUUUUUUGUAGAAUCUAUGAAGAAACAUUUCUGAGACCAUUGAAGCCUAUAGUAAAAAAUUGAAUAUCCUGUGAUAUAAAUGAGAAACAAGUUAUCUACGAAAAUGUAUAUUAAUCUCACUGAAUGCAACCUGUGUUUUACUUCACCAGGUUAAAGAUGCUCUGUUGGUAAAAUCUGUGAAGGGACAUUUCUGAGCACAUUGAGGCCUAUAGUGAAAAAACGAAUAUCCUGCUAUAAAAACUAGAAACAAGCUAUGUGUGAAAAUGCUUUGCAAUGUGUGGAUUCACCUCACAGAUUUAAACCUUUGUUUUGUUUCAACAGGUUGGAAACACUCUUUUUGUAGUUGAACGAAGGGACAUUUUUGAGUCCCUUGAGGCCUAUAGUAAUGAACAGAAUAUCCUGCAAUAAAAAUUAGAAAGAAGUUAUCUGGGAAAAUGCUUUGUGUUGUGUGGACUUAUCUCACAGUGUCAAACUAUUGUUUCCAUGCAACACUAUAAAUGCACACUUUUUGUAGAAUCUAUGAGGGGACAUUUCUGAGCCCAUUGAGGCCUAUAAAGAAAAACCAAACUUCCCAUGUUAAAAGCUAGAAACAAGCUAUUUGCGAAAAUGCUUUAUGGUAUGUGGAUUCAUCUCAUUGAAUGAAACCUGUGUUUUGAUUCACCACGUUUGAAACACUCUUUUGAUAGAAUCCACGAAGGGACAUUUCACUGUAUGAGGCAUAUAGUGAAAAACCAAAUAUCUCAUGAUGAAAACUAGAAAGAAGCUAUUUGUGAAAAUGCUUUCUGAUGUUUAGAUUCAUGUCAAAGAGUUACACCAUUUUUUUGAUUCAACAGGUUUGAAACACUUUUUUUUAGAAUCUAUGAGGGACAUUUCUGAACAAAUUGAGGAGUGUAGUGAAAAACCGAAUAUCCCACUGUAAAAACUACAAACAUUCUGUCUGUGAACAUACUCCCAACUGACCCUGGGUAUUCUAAUAUGAGAGACUCCUGGCUGACCCCAGGCAGUCUAAGGAUAGAGACUCCUGGCAGACUGCAGGCAUUCUAAUGACAGAGACACCUGUGCAACUCCAGGCAUCUUAAUGAAAGAGACUUUAUGCCGACCUUAGGCAUUCUUGUGAUAGGGGCAACUGUGCGUCUUAAGACAUUUUUAUGAGAGAGACUCCAGGCUGACCCCAGGCAUUCUAAGGAGAGAGACUUCUUGCAGAAUUCAGAUACUGUAACGAUAGAGACACUGGGGCAACCUCCAACAUUCUAAUGAGAGGGACUUCUGGUCUACCACGGGCACUUCAAUGAUAAAGACAGUUUUUCGACCCCUAGCAUUUUAAUAGGAGAGACUGCCAGCCAAAACCAGGCAUUCAAACUGGAGAGACACCCAGCCAACCACAGGCAGUCUAAUGUUAGAGACGCCUGGAUGAUCACAGGCAUUAUAAUGGGAGAAACUGAAUGCCAAACGCAGGCAGUCUAAUGUUGGAGAUACCCAGCCAACCCCAGGCAUUUUAAUACAAAAGACUCCUGGUCGACCCCAGGCAUUCCAAUGAUAGAGACACUGUGGCGACCCAAGGUAAUCUACUGGGAGAGACUCCCUGCCAACCCCAGUGAUUCUAAUGGGAGAGACUGCUGGCUGACACCAGGCAGUCUGAUAGAAACCCCUGGGCAACCCCAGGCAUUCUAAUGAAAGUGAUUCCUGGCUGAACUUAGGCAGGCUAAUAACAGAGACAUCUGGGUGACCCCAGGCAUUCUAAUGGUACAGGCUCCCGGGAAAUUCCAGGCAUUCUAAUGGGAGAGACUCUUGGCCGACUACAGGCAGUUUAAGGAUAGAAACACCUGGGCGACCACAGGCAUUUUAAUGGAAAGACUCCAUGCUGACCCAAGGCAGCCUAAUUACAGAAACACCGGGUGACCCCAGGUAUUCUAAUGGAAGAGACUCCCGGUGGACCCCAGGCAGUCUAAUGAUAGAGACACCUGGGCAACCACAGGCAUUCUAAUGGGAGAGACUCCCAGCAGAGCCCAGGCAAUCAAAUGAUACACCUGGGCGACCCCAAAUAUUCUAAUAGAAGAGACUCCUAGCCAACCCCAGGCAUUCUAGUAAGAGACUUCUAGCCGACAAAAGGCAGUCUUAGGUUAGAGACACCUAGGCAACCUCAGGCAUUCUAAUGGGAGAGAUUCAUUGCUGACCCCUGUUAGUCUAACGAUAGAGUCACCUGGGGAACCUCAGUCAUUCUAAUGAGAUAGACUCCUGCCGAACCCAAGCAGUCUAAUUAUAAAGACAUUUCGGUGACCCAAGGCAUUCUAAGGAAAGAGACUCCUGGUGGAUCCCAGGCAGUCUAAUAAUAAAGACACCUGAGCAACCCCAGGCAUUCUAACGGAAGAGACUCCCAGCUGACCCCAGGCAGUCUAAUGAUAGAACUCCUGGGCAAACCCAGGCAUUCUAAUGGGAGAAACUUCUGGCCAAACCUAGGCAGUAUAAUUAUAUAUGCCAAAUCGACCCCAGGCAUUUUAAGGGGAGUGACUCCCAGCCGACUCCAGGCCGUCUAAUGAUAGAGACACCUGGGUGACCCUAGGCAUUCUAAUGGGAGGGACUCACCGCCGACCCUGGGCAUUCUAAUGGGAGAGACUCGUGGCCUACCCCAGGCAGUCUAAUGAUAGAGACACCUGAAAAACCCCAGGAAUUCUAGUGGGAGAGACACCCGACCAACUGCAGGAAAUCUAAUGAUAGAGACAACUGGGUGACUGCAGGCAUUUUAAUGGAAGAGACUCUCAGAUGACUUGACGUUUUAAUGAUAGAGACACCUGGGCAUCCCGAGGCAUUCUAAUAGGAGAGACUUCCAGCCAAACCCAGGCAUUCUUUUGAAAGAGAUGUCUGGCUGACCCCAGGCAGUCUGAUUAUAGAGACACCUGGGUGACCUCAGGAAUUUUAAUUGGAGAGAUUCCCGGCUGAUCACAGGCAGUCUAAUGAUAAAGUCAUCUAUGUGACUUAAGACAUUCUAAUGGGAGAGACUCCAGACCGACAUCAGACAUUCUAAUAAUAGAGACACCUCUGUGACUCCAGGCAUUCUAACGGGAGAGACUCUGGGCCGACACCAGGCAUUCUAAUAAAAAAGACUCCUGGCUGACCAUAGACUCUCUAAUGAUAGAGACAUCUGAACGACCCUUGGCAUUCUAAUAAUAGAGACUCCCGGCUGACCUCAGGGACCCUAAUGGUAGAGACACCUAGCUGAUGCAGGCAGUCUUAUGAUAGAGACACUUCGAUGACCGGAGACGUUCUAAUAAGAGAGAUUCCUGGUUGAACCCAGGCAUUCAAAUGAUAGACACCUUAUCGAGGACAGGCAUUUUAAUGGGAGAGACUCCCGCCAAACCGCAGGCAGUUUAAUAAAGAAAUAGGGAUGAAUACAGGUAUUCUAAUGAGAGACACUCCUGGCUGACUUCAGGCAGUCUAACAAUAGAGACACCUGGGAGAGCCCAGGUAUUCUAAUGGGAGAGAUUGCUGGCUGAACACAGGCAGUCAAACUGUAGAGGAAUCUAAGCCACCCAAGGCAUUUUAAUAGGAGAGCCUACCAGCUGACCCCAGGCAGUCUAAUGAUAGAGACACCUGGGCGAACCCAGGCAUACUAAUGGGAGAAACUCCCAGAUAACUCAAGGCAUUUUAAUAAGAGACAAUCUUGGCGGACCCCAGGCAGUCUAAUGUUCACAACUGGGCAACCACAGGCAUCCUAAUGGGAGAGACUACAGGACAAGCCCAGGCAUGCAAAUAAUAGAUACACGUAUGCGACCCCAAGCAUUCUAAUGAGAGAGAAUUCCAACUGACACCAGAUAUUCUAAUGGGAGAGACUCCUGCCUGACCCCAGGCAGUCUAAUAAUACAGACACCUGGAUGACCUCAGGCAUUCUAAUUAGAGAGACUUCUGUACAAACCCAGGCAAUCCAUGCAUAGAGACACCUAGGUGACCCCAGCCAUUCUAAUGGGGGAGAUUCCCAACUGACCACAGGCAGUCUAAUGGUAGAGGCACUUGGGUGACCCCAGGCAUCCUAAUAGUGGAGACUUCCAAAGGACCCCAGCCAAUCUAAUGUUAGAGACACCUGGGUGACACCAGGCAUUCUUAUGGGAGAUACCCUCCACUGACCCCAGGAAUUCUAAUAAUAGUGACACCUGGGAUACCACAGGCAUUCUAAUGGGAGAGACUGCUGGCUGACACCAGGCAUUCUCAUAAUAGAGACACCUGGGGGACUCCACUCCAGGCAUUCUAAUGGGGGAAACUCUCAGAUGACCCCAAGCAAUCUAAUGUUAGAGAGAGCUGUGCAACCACAAACAGUCUAAUGUUAGAGACACGUGGGUGACCCCAGUCACUCCAAUGGGAGAGACUCACAGAUGACAGAAAGCAUUCUAAUGGGAGAUACUCGUGGUCAACCCCAGGCAGUCUAAUGCUAGAGACACUGAUUGAGCCCAGUGAUUGUAAUGGGAGAGACUAAUGGUCGAACACAGGCAGUCUAAUAGUAGAGACACUUAGGUGAUCCUAGACAUUCUAAUGGAAAAGACUAUCAUCUGACCCCAGGCAUUCUAAUAAUACAGAAACCUGGGUGACCUAAGGCAUUCUAAUGGGAGAGACUUCCAUCUGAACCCUGGCAUUCUAAUGGGAAAGACACCAAGCCAGCCCAGGCAGUCUAAUGAUAGAGACAUCUGUGUAACCACAGGCAAUCUAAUGAAAGAGACUCCCGGCCAAUCGCAGGCAGUAUAAUGACAGAGAAAUCUGAACGACUGCAAGUAUUUUAAUGGGAGACACUUCUGGCUGACCCCAGGCAGUCUAAUAAUAGAGACACCUGAUGGACCCCAAGCAUUCUAAUAGAAGAGACUUCGAGCUGACCCCAGGCUGUCUAAUUAUAAAGACAUCUGGGCUACCUUGGUAAUUCUAAUGGGUAAGACUCCUGGCCAACCACAGGCAAUUCUAAUGGAAGAGACUCCUGACUGACACCAGGCAGUCUAAUAAUAGAGAAACCUGGGCAAUCCCAGACAUUCUUAUGGGAGAGACUGCUGGCUGAACCCAGCAGUCUAAUGAUAGAGACACAUGAGCAAACCCAAACAUUCUAAUGGGAGAGAUUCCCAGCCAAUUCCAUGCAUUCUAAUGAAAGAUCUCCUGGCCAACCCCAUGCAGUCUUAAAAUAGACACCUGGGCGACACCAGGCAGUCGAAUAAGAGAGACUCCUGGCUGACACCAAGCAGUCUAAUGGCAGAGACACCUGGGCCACCCCAGGCAUUCUAAAAAAAAAGAAUCCCAACUGACAUGAAGCAGUCUAAUGAUAGACAACUGGGCACCACAGGCAUUCUAAUGGGAGAGACUCCCAGUCGAUUCCAGACAUUCUAAUUUGAGAGAAUUUGGGAGAUGCCAGGCAUUCUCAUUGGAGAUAUCAGCGACCGACCUGCACCAGACUAAUGAUGAAAAUGCAUCCACGAACCCAGGCAUUCUAAUGGGAGGGGCUCUGGGAGACCUCAUGCAGUCUAAUGAAAAAGACACCUGGAUGACCUUAGACGUUCUAAUGGGAGAGACUCUGGUCCAACCCUAGACUGCCUAAGGUUAGAGACACCUGGUCAACCCCAGACAUUCCAAUGAAAGAGACUCCUGGCCCAAUUCAGGCAGUCUAAUGAUAGAGACACCAAUGUCACACUAAGCAUUUUAAUGUGAGAGACUCCUGGCUGAGACCAGGAAGUCUAAUUAUAGAGACACCUGGGCAACCCCAGGCAUUCUAACGGGAGAGACUUCAGGCUGACCCCAGGCAGUCUAAUGAUAGAGAAACCUGGGCGACUCCAGGCAUAAUAAUGGGAGAGACUGCUGGCUGACCCAAGGCAGUAUAAUGAUAGAGACCCCUGGGCAUGCUAUCUGUGAAAAUGCUUUAGGAUGUGUGGAUUAGUCUCACCAAAUGGAACCUGUGUAUUGAUUCACCAGGUUGAAAACACUCUUGCUGUAGAAUCUAUAAAGGGAUAUUUCUAAGACAAUGUAGGCCUAUAGUGACAGACCGUAUAUUUUGCAAUAAAAAAUAGAAACAAGCUAUCUGUGAAAAUGCUUCAUGAAAUGUGGAUUUAUUUCAAUGAGUUAAAACUUUGUUUUGAUUCAAUAGGCUGGAAAGCCUCGUUUUGUAGUAUCUACGAAAAGAAAUUUCUGAGCUCAUUGAGACUGGUAGUGAAAAAUCUAAUAUCCUGUGAUAAAAAGUAUAAAAACGCUAUGUGUGAAAAUGCUUUGCCAUAUGUGAGUUCAUCUCCAACAGUUAAAACUUUGUUUUGAUUCAACAG